rnacentral:piRNA from 1 species
ACUCUUUUGUUUCUUGUUGGUGCAUGGAGC